rnacentral:lncRNA from 7 species
AGUAAUGAAGGUGUUGAUUCAAGUUACUACUGAAGAGUGGUAGAAAAUUGGCCCACCUGUAGGGGAUGAAGAAUCAGGAACAGGAUGAACGAUGUGGUUAUUGGGAGGAUAAGAAAAAUAAUAAAGACAAAGACCAUUUGGAAACACCCACACAUAGACAGUGGACAAAGGAAGAAAGAUUCUCAGAUGUGGAUCAGAAGCCAAGUCUCUCAGUGUUGUAUCCAAGCUGCUUAUUGGAAAGUAUCACCUUUAUUGGCAAUAAAGAGUACCCGGGACACAGACAUUUUUAGGAAUCAUCGGUUUCAGUUUUAUAAAAGUGCUGUAGUUAUGAACCAUUGAUGUAAAUUGCUAUCUAUGAUGUCUGCAAAGUGGGUAUUUUCAAAAAUCUAUCAGUAGCAGUGGUUUUUUUUUUUAGCUGUGAGUAUUAUUUAUUUGUAUUUAUUGAGAAAGCUUGCAAAGACAGCUGUUACUGGUAGAGUCUGUGAUUUCCUGAGCCAGUUUCCUGACAAAGUGUGUGCUUGUGAUAAAAGUAGACAACUGCCCACUUUCUCCCUAGUGUUUCUUAACUUCAUUUAGGUUUUCUUGAUUUAGAAUUUUAUUUUCUCUCACUGUAAGUUUUCAAGGCCAUGCAAAUUAGACAGUGGUAAGGGAGGGGGUGUCAGGGAUACGUUUUCAAGAUAUUUUUAACAGGAGACCCAAAUGCUGUAUUUUGUACCCUUACUAAAUGGAGCAGUUUACUGAACUUCAUUUUCUGUCAGCAACUAGUGGAAGAGAACAUACUAUUCUGGAAUAUUAUGACUCUUUGUUGUUGUUUUUUUGGUCUAUACAUUCCUAAUAAAUUCCAUAAACACAAUGUUUCUUC